rnacentral:rRNA from 1 species
AUGGUGCGGCCAGGGGACAAGAUCCUUGUGUCGCUAUACGCGAUGGGGAGGAUAGAGGCCGUGUGGGGGCAAGAACUGCCGGGAGUUCCAGCUGGAGCGGUGGAUCGGGGAGGACGGCAAGCCACGGCACGUGCCGUCGUACAAGUUCGCCUCCUUCAACGCCGGACCGCGGACCUGCCUGGGCAAGGACAUGGCCUUCGUGCAGCUCAAGACCGUGGCGGCCGCCGUGGUGUGGAACUUCGAGGUGGACGCCGUUCCAGGGCACGUCGUCGAGCCCAAGAUCUCCAUCAUUCUCCACGUGAAGAACGGCUUCAUGGCCAGGAUCAAGAGGAGGCAGGUGGUGAGCAGUUGAUGCAGAGUUAA